AUUAUUCUUUUGAAGAUUCUUCGUUGUCAAGCCGCCAAAGUGGAGAGUGCGAUUGCAGAAGGGGGUGCUUCUCGUUUCAGUGCUUCUUCGGGCGGAGGAGGAAGUAGGGGUGCACCUCAGCACUAUCCCAAGACUGCUGGCAACAGCGAGUUCCUGGGGAAAACCCCAGGGCAAAACGCUCAGAAAUGGAUUCCUGCACGAAGCACUAGACGAGAUGACAACUCCGCAGCAAACAACUCCGCAAACGAAAAAGAACGACAUGAUGCAAUCUUCAGGAAAGUAAGAGGGAUCUAGGGGUGUUUAUUCCUGCUCCUAUGGCUCAAGGGAUGAGAAGUGACUUCUUUCUGGAGGGACCGUUCAUGCCACCCAGGAUGAAAAUGGAUAGGGACCCACUUGGAGGACUUGCUGAUAUGUUUGGACAAAUGCCAGGUAGCGGAAUUGGUACUGGUCCAGGAGUUAUCCAGGAUAGAUUUUCACCCACCAUGGGACGUCAUCGUUCAAAUCAACUCUUCAAUGGCCAUGGGGGACACAUCAUGCCUCCCACACAAUCGCAGUUUGGAGAGAUGGGAGGCAAGUUUA
rnacentral:lncRNA from 1 species